UACGGGGGGGGUAAGCGUUGUUCGGAAUUACUGGGCGUAAAGGGCUCGUAGGCGGCCAACUAAGUCAGACGUGAAAUCCCUCAGCUUAACUGGGGAACUGCGUCUGAUACUGGAUGGCUUGGAUUCGGGAGAGGAAUGCGGAAUUCCAGGUGUAGCGGUGAAAUGCGUAGAUAUCUGGAGGAACACCGGUGGCGAAGGCGGCAUUCUGGACCGACAUUGACGCUGAUGAGCGAAAGCUAGGGGAGCAAACGGG
rnacentral:rRNA from 1 species